rnacentral:rRNA from 1 species
UACGAAGGGGGCUAGCGUUGCUCGGAAUCACUGGGCGUAAAGCGCACGUAGGCGGAUUUGUAAGUCAGGGGUGAAAUCCCGGGGCUCAACCUCGGAACUGCCUUUGAUACUGCAAAUCUCGAGUCCGGAAGAGGUGAGUGGAAUUCCUAGUGUAGAGGUGAAAUUCGUAGAUAUUAGGAAGAACACCAGUGGCGAAGGCGGCUCACUGGUCCGGUACUGACGCUGAGGUGCGAAAAGCGUGGGGAGCAAACAGGG